rnacentral:lncRNA from 1 species
UUUGGGAAAGGCUGCUUAUGUGAUCACCUAUCCUCCUUGACUACUCGGGUGUGUUCUUUCCUCUCUCUUCUCUCUCUUAUUUUAUGUUUGUUUCUUUCAUUGAGGACAAUGCAUAUUUUAAGUGUGGGGGAGGGAAUACUUUAUUUUCUUUGUUUUUGUUAUUUGUUUUGUUUUGUUUUUGUUUUCUUUCUAAAAAAAAAUUGCAUUUUUGUUGAAAGUUUUAGGCUAUAGAAUAAUUUGAGAUUAGUUUGCGGAGACUUGGGAAAAAUUCACAAGAUCGGUAUUGUUUUAACACUGUAAGUCUCCUGCAUAUGGAAAUUGAUUCGAAUUCUUAUUAUGUUUUAGCCUUAAAU